UACGAAGGGGGCUAGCGUUGCUCGGAAUCACUGGGCGUAAAGGGUGCGUAGGCGGGCCUUUAAGUCUGGGGUGAAAUCCUGGAGCUCAACUCCAGAACUGCCUUUGAUACUGAAGAUCUUGAGUUCGGGAGAGGUGAGUGGAACUGCGAGUGUAGAGGUGAAAUUCGUAGAUAUUCGCAAGAACACCAGUGGCGAAGGCGGCUCACUGGCCCGAUACUGACGCUGAGGCACGAAAGCGUGGGGAGCAAACAGG
rnacentral:rRNA from 1 species